CCAUAGAGUAUACAUAAGUGUGGUCAUAAUUAAAGAUUGAUAAGUUGAAUAAAAUUUAUUUUAAAUUAUUAUUGAAAUGAUUGGUUUUGAAUAAGACAUAUGAUUAUGUACAUAAAUAUUUAAAAGAUAUUAAAAUUAUUGAAAUUAUAUUUUGAAAAUGAAUUAAUUAUGCUUUUACACUAAUUAAUAGUAAAUUAUAUUUUGACUAUUAUAUCUUAUAUUGUCACAUGAAUUAUCUAGUUAAAAUAUUUAUUACUUAUUAAUUAUCGAGCUCAUUAUCUCUUCUUUCUUCUCAAAUUUAGAUACUUAGUUGUGAAUAGAGGUAUUGCUUUAGAAGUGAAA
rnacentral:lncRNA from 1 species